rnacentral:misc_RNA from 1 species
CAAUAAGAGUGUUUAUGGCACUCUUCAAAAAAUCCAUACCCACCUUGUGUGCAACGUAAGAAGAAAAAAAGAAGAUGCGAGUCAUGGGGAAACCCAAGUCUUGCACCCUUUCUUUUUUCUUUUCCACAUACACCUUUCUAUUAGUUCCUAUUGUCUGAAGCUGUUAGAGAAUGACUAAUUCUUAAACA